UAGCUGUUCAGAUAUAUUAUGGUCACCAUGAACAUAUAAAAUGCCCCAGUACUACUUUGAUUCAUUCCAUUCUAAAUCUAUUCCUUUUCAGGUUUUCUGCUUUCCACAAGAAAAUUACAAGUCUCCUAAUCAAAAGCCACUUUGAGAUUUCAAUCAAAAAUGGAAGAAGGAGAAAAAACCCAGUAAGAACUACAAGGUAUCACCCUCCCAUAGAUGUGGGCUGCAUGUGACUCCACACAGUGUUUCUGUCUCAGGAAGAAGAGGGCAAAACGUGCCUUCAAUUCAUAUGAAGUUGACUGCAGCCAAGGGUGACCAAUGACAAAUAAGAGAGAUUACAAUUUCCGCCUAAGUUCCUGACAAAGAAUUGCCAAAAUAAGCCUGUGGAUCAGGGCUGAAGUUCUGGGUAGAAACUUGAGAAUCACCAACGUUCCCAAUGAAAGACUCUUUCAUAAGAAAACAUGCGGCUUUGGUGCAGAGACAUCAGCAAUGAAGGAUUCAAAAAAGAUUUCUGCCUUCAUCUUCGAAAUCUGGUGAGAAAAAAGAUUCUAUGAAGACAGGAGAAGGCAGAGAAGAUGGUUGUAAAUGUGGAGGAAUCCAUCCAAAGCCUGAGGCACUGACAUGGGCCAUGAAAUUCUUCAUGCUCUGGGAGUUUUGUUUUCAUGUACCCUUUGACAUAGAGCUUUCAUUGAGAAGGGGAAAAUGAAGAAAGAAGUGGUGGCUCCAAGUACCAUGAAUAGCCCCACCCUAGGGGGAGCAGCUCAUGAACAGGGGAAGUGCCCUGCGUGAGUCAAGGAGCUGCCAUUUUGCUGACAAGAGGCUUACUGUAAAGCACGGAGAGUGACAGUCCCCAUGGUCAUCGCCUUCUUGAGAUCAGUUUGGAGGGCCUGCAUUGACUGCUUCUGGUCAGAGGAGCCUCUUUGUGUCUCUCCUCGCCUGGACAUCCGGGUGCCCGCUGGUGACAAGUAUCGGCCAGAGACACCGAAGACUGAGCAAGGACGCUUUGGUCUGAGAGAGCCUAUUCCGGGAAGGGGCUGAGAACCUGCAACUUUCCCUUUGAACACAGUAUAAAUGCUACUGUAGACCUCAGAGGUUAAUUCAUUACAACAAAGCAAUUAAAUUUAGGGGCUGUUUGGAAGAUAAAAAGCAGCGAGUAAUAACCAGUUUGGAAAACUCAGCCGUGAUGGAUUUCUAUAAUUUCCUGCAACUUCACAGAGCCACAACUGGUGACCCGAGGCGGGACGGUGUGACUGCCCGGUGGUGUCAGAAACGCGAGGGGGAGAUUAUUUUUAUUAAACAAGGCCUUCAUCCAUGAGAGAGAAGAACACAGUGCUCUCCUGGCAGGGCUGGAGCUGGGAUAAGGGUCCGAGAUUUGAAUUAUUUUUUGGCUCUGUUCUCUGCACCUCUUUCUAUCUUACUAAGCAUGUAGCCGGCCUGAGCUGUUCAUUCCACAGACGUUUCUGGGCACCCACUUUGCGCACGACACCGUGCUGGGCCCCACGGCGCAGAUCAAGUUUGAAGACUCGUUCCACUGAGACUUGGGGACACCUGAGACAGAAGAGUCCCUAUCAUCUUAACUUCUGUUCCUUUCUGCAUCAAACAAAAGUCCAUCUCAGUUUGUUGAAUUACUGUGUGGCUCCUGUGAGGCUCACCCUUUAGUUCUCCUUCUGGACUCUGGAGUCAAAGAGGGACUUUGCUGGCUCCCAAAACCAGGGUCCUACCUGGAAAACUCCUAUUCAACCUUCAGGACCCAGUCAGUGCCUCCUCCCUACCCCCGCCCAGUAAGAAGAGGUAACUUGUGCUGCAGCCUGCAUUUCCAGGGCCUCCAGCCUGGAAGGAGAAACACAGUUGAGCAAAGCUCCCUGGUUCCAGCCCCAGCCCCCCCCCCCAGUGACUCUGGGAGUCUCAGCCGCCCUUCCAAAGCCUCCUUCUCUAGUUUUCCUCUGAGUCUCCAGAAGGUGUCAUCUGUGUGCUCCUGUGUGCAGCUGUCUAUCCCCUCGUGACAUUUGUCAGCUUCCUUGUCUGCUGAACGGGGGGCGGGCUGCCAGGUUGCGCAGCUCCCGUCAGCUGCUGCCAUCUGAGGCCACAGCGUGGAAGGCUGUGCUCCCUUUCCCGCCGUCCCAAGGCCUGAGUGCAGACAAUGAGAGUGCAAGGCUACGAGCAGCCUGUGGAUAGCUCACCCUCGCCUUGCCCUUCGUGCACCAGGACGACCCUGACCGCUUCCGUGGAACCUCCGCCUUCCUCCUCACACUUCCCAGAAGCAAGCACGGACGUUGCUCCCAAUCUACAGGCGGGGACCCCAGCACCGGCGGCGCUCAGGUGUCUAAGUGACCGGGUAUCUGCGCACGUUUUCAAGGCUGGGAGAGGGCAGCUGUCAGUGGAAACCCAGGUCAGCUCGGCCCCAGAGUCCAGAGCCUUCGUCUGGCCGCCGCGGUGGGCCAGCGGCCCCCUGGAGAUGCAGCAAUGCAGUCAGGCCCGCCGGUUGCCUCGGCAGCCGCUCAGCUGGAAAUCUCUGCCUCGUAGCAGAAGCUCGACAACCACUAAACGAGUGAAGGGAUAAAUAAUCCGAAUCUUCUUCUCAUCGGACCCUCUCACCCUCAACGGAGGGGUCCAGGGAGGGUCUCCAUAUCCUUCCCUAACCUUCAAAAUCACAUCACUGAUGUCGCUUAGAUGGGUUUCCUGUAAAGCGGGCUGAGGUGCCAACAUCUAGGAAAUGGAACUCCCAUGUCAAAGAUGUUUGCUGGUCUUGGCUCCUCACCCUCCUCCCUGCUCAUCAGGCAAAUCCAGCCACAUAUGGAUUCGUUUUAAGGAUUAUCUGGGACCCCCUCCUCCUGACCAUCCCCUAGCUACAGACUUAAGAAGACCAGCUCCUCAGUCCAGACAUCAGCUAUGAUGCCUCAGGACUUGCUGCCCAACCCAGCCUCAGUCAAGACUCCAAAACCAGUUUCUACGUGCCUUCUGCUCUGCAGGCUCCCCUCCUGAGUCCAGCCAGACUUCUGUGGGCCCUGUCUACAAGAACUGGAACUUAUAUUACCUCAGCUCAGCAUUGAGAAGAAAUCACAAGAAAACAGAUCUGCAUUAAGGAAAACAGAUGGGAAAACAGCAACGAAAACCAAAUUUCAGUACAAUAUUUUAUACCAACUACAGCUGUAGUGUUCUAUGGUCAUCAAAGCCAAUAAUCUAAAAGGGAACUUCCAUAUGAAGGCAGAGGAACUGUAUCUAAAUCUCUCCUUUAAAGACACUCAUAAAAAUGCACUCAGCGCUAAAAGUUUCCACCCAAGGAAAUGAACAAAACAAGUUGGAUUCAAAGGCAACAACAGCAAAAAUGAAAAGAAGAAAAAAGAAUUCCACAAUUAGACUUCAACAUGGAAAUAUGUUCUAAAUAAUUUAAGUAAUUGUGGUCAAAUAAAGAACAGAACAGGCAAAGAGCUUUCGU